rnacentral:rRNA from 1 species
AUUGAACGCUGGCGGCAGGCCUAACACAUGUAAGUCGAGCGGCAGCGGGAAAGUAGCUUGCUACUUUUGCCGGCGAGCGGCGGACGGGUGAGUAAUGCCUGGGAAAUUGCCCAGUCGAGGGGGAUAACAGUUGGAAACGACUGCUAAUACCGCAUACGCCCUACGGGGGAAAGCAGGGGACCUUCGGGCCUUGCGCGAUUGGAUAUGCCCAGGUGGGAUUAGCUAGUUGGUGAGGUAAUGGCUCACCAAGGCGACGAUCCCUAGCUGGUCCGAGAGGAUGAUCAGCCACACUGGAACUGAGACACGGUCCAGACUCCGACGGGAGGCAGCAGUGGGGAAUAUUGCACAAUGGGGGAAACCCUGAUGCAGCCAUGCCGCGUGUGUGAAGAAGGCCUUCGGGUUGUAAAGCACUUUCAGCGAGGAGGAAAGGUUGAUGCCUAAUACGUAUCAACUGUGACGUUACUCGCAGAAGAAGCACCGGCUAACUCCGUGCCAGCAGCCGCCGUAACAC